rnacentral:tRNA from 3 species
GGGCCCGUAGUAUACCGGUAAUACGCGUCCAUGGCAUGGAUGAAUAGAGGGUUCAAUUCCCUCCGGGUCCACUA